rnacentral:lncRNA from 7 species
AAGCGAAGCCCGAUGCAAUUUUUAUAAUGUGUUACAGAGCGGGCUUUCUGCGCUCCCUUUAUCCCGCUGUCUUUUGUUAUUGUUGCUGAAAUGAUAUUUUUUUUCCCCCGCACUCUCUGCUGGGAAAUCUUUUGAAAGAGCCACUUGUAAAUCACUCUCUGCCGCUGGGUCAACUUUUUGUGCAUCUCCAAAAUCAAGGUUGAAAAUAAAAGAGGGGGACGCGUGCUGCUAACGCUGCCCUCGUAAGGAAGUGUUUGCGGCACAGACUGAUCUGUGUUCCGACGCUGACCUCGUUCAACAGCGCAUCUGACUGCCGACCUACACACGUAUAUGCACACACGUACUGAAGCCCCUCACCAGCUGUGCCUUGCAUGCACCUCCACUCUUUUCCUUUUCGGAAGAGAUCAUAGAGGGGCAUUGAGAGUAAGUGCAGCCUCUGCGCACCGCCGUUGAGCAAUCCGCAGACACGGAGCAACGAAUACGCUUCAGCGACGCCGGAGAGGAAAAGCUGACCAAUAGCUGGAGCUUAAUCAGAAAAGUGCGCAAAGAACUAAACUGUAUGGGAAACUGAAAACAACAUCAGCUGCUGCCGGAAGCAUGGGGAAAACCUUUCCCUAAAGCUAAACAGUCCAGAAGAUCCUAAGGAAAAGGAGCGCGGUUCCAACUCAUUAGCACCGAGGAGUCCCGUAGCGAAGGAGGAACUGGGAUCAGAGUGGGACACUGUCACCUUUCCGCUGGAGAGCGGGCGCCCGUCUGAAAACAAGCGGGAGAGAAAUAGAUAGCGGCGCUGGGUGUAAUGUGAUUACACCUGAGGUAAUCGCUUAAAAUAAAUUGUAUACUGUUU